rnacentral:rRNA from 1 species
GACGAACGCUGGCGGCGUGCCUAAUACAUGCAAGUAGGACGCAGUUGCGAACGGGUGAGUAACGCGUAGGUACCUACAUAUUAGAGGGGGAUAACUAUUGGAAACGAUAGCUAAUACCGCAUACUAGUAGAUGGACCUGCGUUGUAUUAGGUAUUAGGUAGGGUAAUGGCCUACCUAGGCAACGAUACAUAGCCGACCUGAGAGGUUGUGCGGCCACACUGGGACUGAGACACGGCGCAGACUCCUCAUGGAGGCAGCAGUAGGGACUCUGCGGACAUGGGGGGAACCUUGACUGCGCACCGUCGCGUGAGUGAAGAAGGUUGUCGGAUCGGAAAGCUCUGUUGUUAAGGAAGCGGUACUUAACCAGAAAGGGACGGCUAACUACGUGCCAGCAGCCGCGGUAAUUC